UACGAAGGGGGCUAGCGUUGCUCGGAAUCACUGGGCGUAAAGCGCACGUAGGCGGACUCUUAAGUCAGGGGUGAACUCCUGGAGCUCAACUCCAGAACUGCCUUUGAUACUGGGAGUCUCGAGUUCGGGAGAGGUGAGUGGAACUGCGAGUGUAGAGGUGAAAUUCGUAGAUAUUCGCAAGAACACCAGUGGCGAAGGCGGCUCACUGGCCCGAUACUGACGCUGAGGUGCGAAAGCGUGGGGAGCAAACAGG
rnacentral:rRNA from 1 species